rnacentral:rRNA from 1 species
UACAGAGGGUGCGAGCGUUAAUCGGAUUUACUGGGCGUAAAGGGCGCGUAGGCGGUUAUAUGAGUGUGAUGUGAAAGCCCUGGGCUUAACCUAGGAAGUGCAUCGCAAACGAUAUGACUGGAGUACUAGAGAGGGUAGCGGAAUUUCCGGUGUAGCGGUGAAAUGCGUAGAGAUCGGAAGGAACGUCAGUGGCGAAGGCAGCUGCCUGGAUAGAUACUGACGCUGAGGCGCGAGAGCGUGGGGAGCAAACAGG